CCCACUGAGUCAACACUUUCAUCAGCCCCAGGGCUCUGCCAGGGAGCACGGUUCCUCUCGCCUGCUCCAGCUCUUACUCAUUUAAUUGUGAACAACAAAAGCAUGGACUUAGGGAGAGGAGAUCUCUGAGGAUUUAUACAAUGCUCCACCCACAACUGUUCUCGAUGAGUUUCUGCUGGACUUUGAAGAAUGCUGAUGUGAUAAUCGCGGAAAAGACCUCUGCUCCUGGAAACCACCUGUCACUGCACAUUCAUGGAGCUUCACCCUGACUCCAGAUCUACAGGACUACCAUGUAACACAAGGGGGCACUUAGAACAGUUCCCACCUCUUCACUGGUUACAUUCAAGGGCAACGUACUUGCAGGCCCCUGCAUCCGGACAUAUCUGGCCUGGGUGUAACCAAGCAGAUUUUCCUGCCCCCAGAGCCUGCAGGUUACUCCCCCUGCAGAGAAGACCACGAAGACAGGAGGCCUUCCC